rnacentral:misc_RNA from 1 species
GGGUUAACGAUAAGGGAGUAACUGGCAGCUUGUCUGCGAUAACGCCACCAACAAGGCAAUAUUCUGGUGUUAUCUUAAUUAGUGAGACUUAUAGGGAUUUU